GGUUGGGUCCCUGGGACGUGGCCGGAAGGGUGCACCACCUGCCCAGCUCCUCCUCCUCACUGCUUCCUGGCCACCACGCGGUGAGCAGGUCUCCUCCGCCAGGCCCCUCUGCCUCACACUGAGGGCACUGGGUGUUGUGCCACCCACCAGGGCAGUGACAGGGAGACACAUUGCCAUCGGUCCCCCGCACACCCCACGCUUCAGACCCUGUCCCAUUGCUCUUGGCAGUGUGGCCUUUACCAUUGCAAGUCGUUUUAAAUUUAAACACCCACUGCAUGUUUUGAUCACCCUGUGAACUGUGGUGCAGCAAUUUAAGAGAGAAAAAUGAGGGGCCGGGGAUGUGGCUCAGUGAUUCCACCACCUACCUCUCAAGUGCAAAGUCCAGAGUUCAAUUGUGGGGGUGGAGCGUGAAAUGAAAAAGAACACCCUGGGCUCCGUCUAAGGUGAGUCUGUGUGGAAGGCUGGGCCCUGCGAACACGCACCGCUUCAUGCACUGCUAAGUACCCAAGAACUGACCACAGCUGAGCCUUGGGGACUGGGUAUGCACGUAGGUCACAGCCAACAGAGCAGACCUGAUCCUGCCUGCCAUUAUGUGUGAUCUCCUGUCCUCCGAAAGGAGGGAAGAGACAGGAAAUGAGCCCUGGCCUCACAGCCAGCCACGGGGUGGGAUCCCCACCAGAAGACCCUCCCAGACCCACUCGGGCUGACCACAGGACCACCGCCGGGCCCAUCGGGUGGAGGCUGUGGCUCUGCCGCUGUCCAUGUCCUCUCCCUCCACCCUGGGGCGCUCUCCAUCCCCGCCUCUGGGGCCUCCCUGCCAUGUCCCUGGCCAGCGGCCGCCUCCCCAGCAACAGGACUGAGGAACUGAUGCUGGCGGCCGCAGCUCCGCCCUCCCACCCCAGGGACUGCGCCACCGCUGCCCUCCUGCACCAUACCCCUUCCAUCGCGGCUCUCGUCCACACCCACCGCGCCUCAGAGGUCCCGGCCUGGCCUGGCCUUGCCUCGCCCACCUGCCCCAGGCCACUGUCGCUGACCUCCUUGUCACAGAGUCUUCCAGCUUUUCCAGCUCCUUCCUCGCUGGCACAGGAACCCAGACGACACCCGAGACAAUGCACCUGGCCUGUGGCCGCUGGACCAGUCACCACCGCCGGCUGUGGCUUCGCCCAACACAAAUUCCUGUCGUGACGUUCUGAGGUCAGAGGCACUGAAACUGAGGGAUCAGAGUGGGGGAGCCAGCUGCCCACCCUUGGCGUCCUCGGGAGCCGCCCCGUGUCCAUGCCUUCCCAUGUGCUUCCCCGUCCCUCUCUCGGCCACGCUGGCAGUC
rnacentral:lncRNA from 1 species